CGCUGCGAGCGGCCAUAUUGAGCAGUAGUGUUUCGCCCCGAGGCCGCAGAUGUCGCCACGCGUAUUGCCGGCGUGCAUUCUGGGAUAGCUUUGCUCUCUCGUCGGCUGUUCGGUGUUCGUUCUGCGCUCGCCGCCGAUUUUGCUGUGUUGCCGCGGCGGUUUAUGUGGCCUAUAUUUUCCUCACCGGCGCGCUAGUCUACGCCAAGUACGUCCCGCAAGCGUCCAACGAGGCUUCCCCACGCGAGCCCAGCAACUGCAUCGAGAGCUUUGAGCUUCGGGGGUCGUCGCCGUU
rnacentral:lncRNA from 1 species